GUGGGGAAUAUUGGACAAUGGGGGGAACCCUGAUCCAGCCAUGCCGCGUGUGUGAAGAAGGCCUUUUGGUUGUAAAGCACUUUAAGCGAGGAGGAGGCUACCGAGAUUAAUACUCUUGGAUAGUGGACGUUACUCGCAGAAUAAGCACCGGCUAACUCUGUGCCAGCAGCCGCGGUAAUACAGAGGGUGCAAGCGUUAAUCGGAUUUACUGGGCGUAAAGCGCGCGUAGGUGGCCAAUUAAGUCAAAUGUGAAAUCCCCGAGCUUAACUUGGGAAUUGCAUUCGAUACUGGUUGGCUAAAGUAUUGGAGAGGAUGGUAGAAUUCCAGGUGUAGCGGUGAAAUGCGUAGAGAUCUGGAGGAAUACCGAUGGCGAAGGCAGCCAUCUGGCCUAAUACUGACACUGAGGUGCGAAAGCAUGGGGAGCAAACAGGAUUAGAAACCCCAGUAGUCC
rnacentral:rRNA from 1 species